rnacentral:tRNA from 1 species
GUGGUUGUGGCUCAGAGGUAGAGUGCUUGCCUAGGAUGAAUGAGGUACUGGGUUCAAUCCUCAGCACCACA